UACGUAGGUGGCGAGCGUUAUCCGGAAUUACUGGGUGUAAAGGGUGUGUAGGCGGGAUUGCAAGUCAGGCGUGAAAUGGGAAGGCUCAACCUUCCAGCUGCGCUUGAAACUGUAAUUCUUGAGAGUGGGAGAGGUAAACGGAAUUCCUGGUGUAGUAGUGAAAUGCGUAGAUAUCAGGAGGAACACCGGUGGCGAAGGCGGUUUACUGGACCACAACUGACGCUGAGACACGAAAGCGUGGGGAGCAAACAGG
rnacentral:rRNA from 1 species